GGCAUGAGUGAGAUCGGGCUACCAUACCAUACUAGCUCUAAAGGACAUACGCACUGGCAUCUAUGUCGGGGAGGAUGCCAAUGCUCAGAGUCUACCCAAGGGUUUGAAGGACUUCAGAAUGAGAUCAGAAUCACCACGUGUUUGAAGAACAUGAAGUAGCAACCAAGAGCUAUGAGGCAUCAGCUAAGGUUCUGAGACCUCUUCCUUGAAGUAAACAUCAUGAAACUUGUCUUGUAGUUGAGGAAACCAGAACAGAGAAAAGUGACUUCCCGAGUUAGCAAAACACUGCAGUAACUCCCAGAGCUCAACUUUAUGCUAAGGAUCUCCAUACCCCAUCUCGACUUUGGGAUGUCCCCGACUCAGAAUGCCUAGGCACAUCAAAUGUCAGCGUCCUGGGAGCACGUCAAGAAUGGUAGAUAAAUAGAAUGUUAAGGCACUAAAUUUGUUGGAGUUGUUUUACUUGAGGAAAAAUAAAAACUCAUUUUUUUCGUCUUUGGGAAGUGCUGUAUGUCUCAUCUUAUGAGCCUUGGCAUCUUUUGGAGUUUUAUUGCAACCCCAUAAGAACAGCAAUACCAACCAACUGGAGCUCUCAGGGACUACACCACCCUUCAAAGAGUACACUCGGCACAGAUCCCUGACUCCAGCUGCCUAUGUAGCAGAGGAUGGCCU
rnacentral:sRNA from 1 species